rnacentral:rRNA from 1 species
CUACGGGUCGCAGCAGUGAGGAAUAUUGCACAAUGGAGGAAACUCUGAUGCAGCAACGCCGCGUGGAGGAUGACGCAUUUCGGUGUGUAAACUCCUUUUAUAUGUCAAGAAAAUGACGGUAGCAUAUGAAUAAGCACCGGCUAACUCCGUGCCAGCAGCCGCGGUAAUACGGAGGGUGCAAGCGUUACUCGGAAUCACUGGGCGUAAAGGACGCGUAGGCGGGAUAUCAAGUCAGGUGUGAAAUCCUACAGCUUAACUGUAGAACUGCACUUGAAACUGGUAACCUAGAGUAUGGGAGGGGGAGAUGGAAUUAGUGGUGUAGGGGUAAAAUCCGUAGAUAUCACCAGGAAUACCUAAAGCGAAGGCGAUCUCCUGGAACAUAACUGACGCUAAGGCGUGAAAGCGUGGGGAGCAAACAGGAUUAGAUACCCCGGUAGUC